UACGGGGGGGGCAAGCGUUGUUCGGAAUUACUGGGCUUAAAGGGCGCGUAGGCGGGCUCACAAGUCAGACGUGAAAUCCCUCGGCUUAACCGGGGAACUGCGUCUGAUACUGGAUGGCUUGAGGUUGGGAGAGGGAUGCGGAAUUCCAGGUGUAGCGGUGAAAUGCGUAGAUAUCUGGAGGAACACCGGUGGCGAAGGCGGCAUCCUGGACCAAUUCUGACGCUGAGGAGCGAAAGCCAGGGGAGCAAACGGG
rnacentral:rRNA from 1 species